UGCAGAUGAUGACGGUGACGAUGACGAUGAUGAUGAUGAUGAUGAUAAUGAUGAUGAUGAUCGUCAUCACCAUCAUCGUCAACAUCCUCCUCCUCA
rnacentral:pre_miRNA from 1 species